CUGGCGAAUGCCGGGAAGGACUACAGGUUAAUGCGAAUGUCGCGGGUUCGACUCCCGCUCGUGCCCCAAGGCGCGGUAGCUCAGCGGUAGAGCAUCGUCCCUUCGGGGAGUCUUUUCCAAUCCUCGUCGCCAGGAC
rnacentral:Y_RNA from 1 species